rnacentral:rRNA from 1 species
GUUACCUUCGGGUAAUGAGGAUGGCGGACGGGUGAGUAACGCGUAAGGAACUUGCCUCUUGGACUGGGACAACUGUUGGAAACGACAGCUAAUACCGGAUAUUAUGAGAUUCUCGCAUGAGAAACUUAUGAAAGCUAUAUGCGCCAAGAGAGAGCCUUGCGUUCCAUUAGCUAGUUGGUGGGGUAACGGCCCACCAAGGCGACGAUGGAUAGCCGGCCUGAGAGGGUGAACGGCCACAAGGGGACUGAGACACGGCCCUUACUCCUACGGGAGGCAGCAGUGGGGAAUAUUGGACAAUGGACCAAAAGUCUGAUCCAGCAAUUCUGUGUGCACGAUGAAGGUCUUCGGAUUGUAAAGUGCUUUCAGUUGGGAAGAAGCAAGUGACGGUACCAACAGAAGAAGCGACGGCUAAAUACGUGCCAGCAGCCGCGGUAAUACGUAUGUCGCAAGCGUUAUCCGGAUUUAUUGGGCGUAAAGCGCGUCUAGGCGGAAAAAUAAGUCUGAUGUUAAAAUGCGGGGCUCAACUCCGUAUUGCGUUGGAAACUGUUUUUCUAGAGUACUGGAGAGGUGGGCGGAACUACAAGUGUAGAGGUGAAAUUCGUAGAUAUUUGUAGGAAUGCCGAUGGAGAAGUCAGCUCACUG